rnacentral:rRNA from 1 species
AGAGUUGAUCAUGGCUCAGGACGAACGCUGGCGGCGUGCCUAAUACAUGCAAGUCGAACGGCUUUCUAUGGAAGCUUGCUUCCACUGAGAAGAUAGUGGCGAACGGGUGAGUAACACGUGGGUAACCUGCCCAUAAGAGGGGGAUAACAUCCGGAAACGGGUGCUAAUACCGCAUAGUUUUCUUGAUCGCAUGAUUGAGAAAGGAAAGACGGCCUUUGUGCUGUCGCUUAUGGAUGGACCCGCGGCGUAUUAGUUAGUUGGUGAGGUAACGGCUCACCAAGACGAUGAUACGUAGCCGACCUGAGAGGGUGAUCGGCCACAUUGGGACUGAGACACGGCCCAGACUCCUACGGGAGGCAGCAGUGGGGAAUAUUGCACAAUGGGGGAAACCCUGAUGCAAGCAACGCCGCGUGAGUGAUGACGGCCUUCGGGUUGUAAAGCUCUGUCUUCAGGGACGAUAAUGACGGUACCUGAGGAGGAAGCCACGGCUAACUACGUGCCAGCCGCAGC